ACGUAGGUCCCGAGCGUUGUCCGGAUUUAUUGGGCGUAAAGCGAGCGCAGGCGGUUUCGUAAGUCUGAAGUUAAAGGCAGUGGCUUAACCAUUGUUCGCUUUGGAAACUGCGAGACUUGAGUGCAGAAGGGGAGAGUGGAAUUCCAUGUGUAGCGGUGAAAUGCGUAGAUAUAUGGAGGAACACCGGUGGCGAAAGCGGCUCUCUGGUCUGUAACUGACGCUGAGGCUCGAAAGCGUGGGGAGCAAACAG
rnacentral:rRNA from 1 species